UACGGAGGGUGCAAGCGUUAUCCGGAUUCACUGGGUUUAAAGGGUGCGUAGGUGGGUUGGUAAGUCAGUGGUGAAAUCUCCGAGCUUAACUUGGAAACUGCCGUUGAUACUAUCAAUCUUGAAUAUCGCGUAGGUAAGCGGGAUAUGUCAUGUAGCGGUGAAAUGCUUAGAUAUGACAUAGAACACCAAUUGCGAAGGCAGCUUACUUCACGAUCAUUGACACUGAGGCACGAAAGCGUGGGGAGCAAACAGG
rnacentral:rRNA from 1 species